AUUGAACGCUGGCGGCAGGCCUAACACAUGCAAGUCGAACGGUAACAGGAAGAUGCUUGCUUCUUUGCUGACGAGUGGCGGACGGGUGUGUAAUGUCUGGGAAACUGCCUGUUGGAGGGGGUUAACUACUGGAAACGGUUGCUAAUACCGCAUAACGUCGCAAGACCAAAGAGGGGGACCUUCGGGCCUCUUUCCUUCGUCUGUGCCCAGUUGGGAUUAGCUAGUAGGUGGGGUAACGGCUCACCUAGUCGACGAUCCCUAGCUGUUCUGAGAGGAUGACCAGACACACUGGAACUGAGACACGGUCCAGACUCCUACGGGAGGAAGCAGUGGGGAAUAUUGCACAAUGGGCGCAAGCCUGAUGAAGCAAUGCCGCGUGUAUGAAGAAGGCCUUCGGGUUGUAAAGUACUUUAAGCGGGGAGGAAGGGAGUAAAGUUAAUACCUUUGCUCAUUGACGUUACCAGAAGAAGAAGCACCGGCUAACUCCGUG
rnacentral:rRNA from 1 species